GCCAGAUCGGGCGUUUAAAGGUAAAAUCUGACAGGUUUGAGUUUUAUUUUGCGACUAAAAUACAGUUGUGAACAAACUCUGUUCUGGUUCAGGAUGAUUUCGUCUGGUUUUCUAAUAACAUGUGAUGCUGAUUUGAAACCAAACUAAUAUUCUGGUGGUUGUUGAACAGCACUCACUGGGCUGGAAACCAUCAGCUGUAUCUGGCAACACGACGAGUUUCCUGUUUUGACUUUACUUUCUCCAGAGUCGUGUCGCAGAUCUUUUUCUCCAUCUGAAGGUAAUGAAGCGGUUUGUGGUGUUUUCUUCAUCAUCAGCUCAGUUCCAGCAGAAAUCUGCCGCUCCAUAGUUCACGUUAAACUCAGUCACAGCUGAAAGGAAAGAGUCUGGAUCAGUUUGUGUCACUCGGUGCAUGAAUAUGAUUGAAGACUUGGAAUCGAUAUUUUGAUGUGAAGAUGGAUUCUAAAAGACACACGUCUAGAUCAGAAGUAUCGAUGUUUGGAUCGAUACCACAUCCCUACAGCAUGGACCAGAGUAGAGAGAAACUGGAGGGACCUGGACCUGGACCUGGACCUGGACCUGGACCUGGACCUGGACCUGAACCUGAACCUGAACCUGGACCUGAACCUGGACCUGGACCUGGACCUGGACCUGGACCUGCACCUGAACACAGCUAUGUGUCCUUGAAGAGCGACCAGUCGAAGGACAAGGGGAUUUAUUUUAAAGGAGGAAGUGGUUCUGGUCCAAAGAGAGUCCACCAGCAGAGCUCAGAGGUUCUCAGUGGUCAGUCUACCCAGCAGCAUCAGAAACAGCU